AAUAUUCAUCGUGAACGUGAUAUGUAGGCCCAGAGUGAUAGAUAUAACAGAGUGGCGACACUUCCAUUGGACUCCGCUGUAGUGCCUACUUUCGGGGUAUGGAGCCUCGAAUAGUUCCAAACAACCAUUUUACGGCGUAGGAGAUCAUUCAUUUCCAUUGCUGGCCGUCGAGUAACUUCUGAGGUCCUCCACAGUCGCCCCAUCAGUCCCUGGCAGUCUGGUCCCUGGAGCAGCUGGCCCUGGAUCCAUUGCCCCUGAAUCACCUGCCCCUGGCAAAGUGGCCUCUUGAUUGCACUCUCUGUCUCCUGUCAUGUCCUUUUCAUCGCUCUUGAAAUCCAACUCAAUUUCUCCCUCAAUCUCUGUAACAAUUACAAGGUAAUGUUGCUGUUAUAUGUAUUUUGCCUUUGCAUUUGCAACUUCUGUCAUCUCUAAUGUAAGGCAAUGUAAAAAAAUUAAUUAAAGCAAAACAUUUCUGUAAUGUGAAUUAAAUCAUCUGCCACAAUCAGAAACCAAUAAAAUGUAUAAAUGGAUCUACCGGCAAUUGUUAAUUGGGUAGAAAUGUGUCGAUUAUCUACAUUGUGUGCAAAUCCUCAGAGAAUCCCUGACCUCUGGUUGUUUUUUAAACUGGACAAAUAUGAAUUAUGUAAUCUCAAUAGGAGUGUAGUCUAUCCUUGAAUUACAUGAAAUGGGGAAUAUUGUUAGCUGCAUGGAUCAUACCGAAGUUUAAUUUGGCGCAAUAUGUGUGGGUGCCUCCGGAACCAAGUGCAACGGACCACACAUAUUGCGCCAAAUUAAACUUUGGUAUGAUCCAUGCAGCUAACAAUAUUCCCCAUUUCAUGUAAUUCAAGGAUAGACUACACUCCUAAUGAGAUUACAUAAUUCAUAUUUGUACAUUCAGUUUAAAAAACAACCAGAAGGCAGGGAUUCUCUGAGGAUUUGCACACAAUGUAGAUAAUCGACACAUUUCUACCCAAUUAACAAUUGCCGGUAGAUCCAUUUAUAAAUUGUAUUGGUUUCUGAUUGUGGCAGAUGAUUUAAUUCACAUUACAGAAAUGUUU
ensembl:lncRNA